AUGGUCUCUUGGUUGGUUUCUAUUGAUGGUCAUUCUGGCUCAUCUGACGCCAGGAGUAAACAAUUGCAAGCCGCUGCAACUCUGUCUCAAUCCCUGUUUCAGUGUUCUUUCACUGCGCCAAAAUAGUGGGUACACUACAAAAGAGUGAGACAAAAUCGGUAAGCCAGUUAAUUAAUUAAUAUUCAGAAUUGGCAUUUUUUGACGAUUAGUCAGUGCCGUCAGUCCUCCGCCUAUAUAUUCAGGAUACAAGAUAGUCUCUUCAUUUCUGAGCGAGAGACUCUCAAAGUCGCUGCUUCCUGAUACCACCGUCACAACUAAGGUUGCGAGCAGCUCUAGAGGAUUGCAGCAUGGCAAAGGAAGUUGGUGGUUACGUAGUAGUGCUCAUCAUCUGCACGACUCAACUGCUGUCAGUCCGCUCUUCAGAAGAAACUAUAAUUGCUAGUAAGGCUGACUUGCAAUCAAGUUUGAGCCAUGCAAAACCAACAGAGUCUUGUCAUGCGGAAAUGUCUGAGCAAGUGGUUAGACCGAGUAACCGCGAUUGUCAGUCUUUCAAAGCCAAAGUCAAAGGCUGCUCCGGAAAAUGCAAUGGGAAAGUUAUUCCUGUCUGGAGACAGGCUGAAAAGAGAGUUGUCCUACAUUCCCAGUGCAAAUGCUGCAAUGUAGUCGCAUACGAGCGGGUACCGUAUCUAAUGAGGUGUCCUAGAAGUAAAGGAACAAAGCUGAAGUUGCACUACUUGAUACAGGCGGCCAGAUGUCAGUGCAAACCGUGCCCUUAGUCUGUCGAGCAAGAACAGAACAUGAAGACGCCUAAUUCGCAACAAAUUGGUAGUAAUAAUUAACCUUUUGGAAUUUUCUGCAUAUAAUAUUACUUAGUUUUAACUGCCAUGAACAAAUUUUGUACAGUCUUAUCAAGUCAUACUAGUAGACUUUAACUGUCCUUUAGCUGACAGAUAUUUAAUACAAAUUUGCAAAUGAG